GAUGAACGCUGACAGAAUGCUUAACACAUGCAAGUCAACUUGAACUUCGGUUUGGGUGGCGGACGGGUGAGUAACGCGUAAAGAACUUGCCUCACAGAUAGGGACAACAUUUGGAAACGAAUGCUAAUACCUGAUAUUAUGAUUAUAUGGCAUCGUAUAAUUAUGAAAGCUAUAUGCGCUGUGAGAGAGCUUUGCGUCCCAUUAGCUAGUUGGAGAGGUAACGGCUCACCAAGGCGAUGAUGGGUAGCCGGCCUGAGAGGGUGAUCGGCCACAAGGGGACUGAGACACGGCCCUUACUCCUACGGGAGGCAGCAGUGGGGAAUAUUGGACAAUGGACCAAGAGUCUGAUCCAGCAAUUCUGUGUGCACGAUGAAGUUUUUCGGAAUGUAAAGUGCUUUCAGUUGGGAAGAAAAAAAUGACGGUACCAACAGAAGAAGUGACGGCUAAAUACGU
rnacentral:rRNA from 1 species